rnacentral:rRNA from 1 species
CCUACGGGUGGCUGCAGUGAGGAAUAUUGGUCAAUGGACGAGAGUCUGAACCAGCCAAGUAGCGUGAAGGAUGACUGCCCUAUGGGUUGUAAACUUCUUUUAUAUGGGAAUAAAAUGUUCCACGUGUGGGAUUUUGUAUGUACCAUAUGAAUAAGGAUCGGCUAACUCCGUGCCAGCAGCCGCGGUAAUACGGAGGAUACGAGGGUUAUACGGAUUUAUUGGGUGUAAAGGGAGCGUAGGUGGAUUGUUAAGUCAGUUGUGAAAGUUUGCGGCUCAACCGUGAAAUUGCAGUUGAAACUGGCAGUCUUGAGUACAGUAGAGGUGGGCGGAAUUCGGGGUGUAGCGGUGAAAUGCUUAGAUAUAACGAAGAACCCCGAUUGCGAAGGCAGUUCACUGGACUGCAACUGACACUGAGGCUCGAAAGUGUGGGUAUCAAACAGGAUUAGAUACCCGAGUAGUC